UGGGGUUUCUUCUAAUGGUAGGACACAUCCCUCUGGAGGAUGGUAUUGGGGUUCGAGUCCCUGUUCCCCAG
rnacentral:tRNA from 1 species